rnacentral:lncRNA from 1 species
GGAGGGAUUGUGACUAGUUUGUAGGCAGGGACGUGUUGCUGUUUGGUGAAGAAUUGAUAGCCUUUGCAUUUUUGAACUAACUGCUUCGCAUCUGCCAAAGCCAUGGGCCAGUAGAAGCCUGCUCGGAAAGCUUUGCCUACUAUCGUUCGUGAGGAUGCGUGGUUGCCACAGAUUCCUUUGUGAAUUUCUUCUAGGAUUUCUUAGCCGUCUUCACGGCUGACACACUUCAUGAGUACCCCUGAUGAUGCAGUUUUCCUGUAGAGCUUGUCUCCGACCAGAACGUAGUUUUUUCCUCAUCAGGAAACUUGUUCAACUUGAUUUUUGUCAGAUGAUAACUAAUGGUCUCUGAUGUAGUCGAUGAAGGGUGUCCUCCAAUCAACUUCUAUCAUCAUUAUUUCUUGAGUAACUUCUGUAGUCUUGAUCACUGGUGGUGUGACUUGUUCUGGUAUGGAUGGUUUAUGGAGUUCGUUUACGAAAAUUCCUGCUGGACAUUCUGCACAAGUUGAGCCAUUUUUGAUAGUACGUCGGCGGCUACGUUGUUGUCGCGGACGAUAUGAUGAAAUUCCAGGCCUGAGAACUUGUUUUCCAGUUUGCGGACUUCUUUGACAUAAGCAUCCAUGUUGUCCUUGUUUCAAUCCCAUUCGUCAUUGACUUGGUUUAUAACGACUAGUGAGUCGCCGUAUACCAGUAGUCUUUUGAUUCCGAUGGAAAUUG